rnacentral:lncRNA from 1 species
AAAUGUUUCCGUCCACAGUCAGGAGGACUUUCCCAGAAUACUCUGUGCUAUCGGCACCCUCUUGUUGGUUGGCAUGGCUGGGUUCAGCCUCACUGUGGGAGCAUCUCUGGAUGUUGUGAACCCUUAAAUUAGUCAGCUUUCCACUGCUCUGAUAAAAUACAUGAAAGAAAUAAUUUUAAAAGAGGAGAGAUUUGUUUGUUUCAGCCCAAGGUUGCUCAGCCCAGUUGUUCUGAGUCUGGAACGCAGUACGUGAUAGGAGAGAGCUGUUCCCUUCCUGAUGCUCAGAAAGCAAAGUAGGAGAGAAGGAGGGGGGCACACCAACAGUGACUGACUUCUUCUACCAGGCUCCACACCCUAACCCCACUAAGCUAUUGAACCCCAUUGGUGAGUAUCUUAUUUUCUUCAUUGCUAUGAUGAAAUGCCCUGACUGUACCAAUGUAUGGGGGAAAGAGUUAUGUAUUUAUGUAUUUAUUUAUUUAGACUCAGUUCGAUGGUACAGUCCAUUGUGAUCAGAGGUCCUUGUGGCAGGAACUUGAAGCACCUGGUCACAUCAACAGGAAGCAAAAAUGUGAAUGUCUAUGCUCAGUUAGCUUUCUCCUUGAUUGCACUGUAGGACUCAAGCCGAGAGAAUGGUACCAUCCGCUUUGGGGGUGACUCUUCCCACUUUAGCUAUCCCAAUAAAAUACAUGAUGUAUCACAGGCAUGCCCAGAGGCUUGUCUCCCAGGUGACUGUCAAUCCUGUCAAGAUGACAAUCAAUGUUAAUUAACUUCACAUCCAUUUACUGAAUCCUAGCCUUUACACCUGAUUCUAAACAUUGCUGCAUUGGACACCAGGCCUUCAACAAGCGACCUCUGGCAGGACAUUUAAGAUCUGAACCAUGACAGAGGUCUUUGAAUAACUAACUUAGAGUCAAGCUUCAUUCAUCCCACUG